CGGUUCUCCUUCGAUUACCGAAGUAAAGCAACAUCGAGCCUGGUCAGUACCUAGAUGGGUGACCGCUUGGAAAUCUCAGGUGCUGUAAG